rnacentral:rRNA from 1 species
AGCGAACGCUGGCGGCGUGGAUAAGGCAUGCAAGUCGAGCGAUCCCCUUGUGGGAUAGCGGCAAACGGGUGAGUAACGCGUAGGUAACCUACCCCCAAGAGGGGGAUACCCCAUCGAAAGAUGGGUUAAUACCUCAUAAGCUCACUGGCAUCGCAUGAUGCUGUGGGAAAAGGUGGCUUAAAUCUUCGGAUUGCUAUCACUUAGGGAGGGACCUGCGUCCCAUCAGCUUGUUGGUAAGGUAAUGGCUUACCAAGGCAUAUGACGGGUAGCUGGUUUGAGAGGAUGACCAGUCACACUGGGACUGAGACACUGCCCAGACUCCUACGGGAGGCUGCAGUCGAGAAUCUUUGGCAAUGGGCGAAAGCCUGACCAAGCGACGCCGCGUGCAGGAUGACGGCCUUAGGGUUGUAAACUGCUGUGAUAAAAGAAGAAGGUGAUAAUCGCUAAUAUCGGUUAUUAUUUGACGGUACUUUAUCAGAAAGCCACGGCCAACUCCGUGCCAGCAGCCGCGGUAAUACGGAGGUGGCAAGCGUUGCUCGGAUUUACUGGGUGUAAAGGGUACGUAGGCGGAUCUGUAUGCCAUGCUUGAAAGGUUCAGGCUCAACCUGGACAUGUGGCGUGGAACUGCAGAACUUGAGGAUGAGAGAGGUGAGCGGAAUUCCCGGUGUAAGGGUGAAAUCUGUAGAUAUCGGGAGGAACACCAGUGGCGAAGGCGGCUCACUGGCUCAUUACUGACGCUGAGGUACGAAAGCUAGGGGAGCAAACAGGAUUAGAUACCCUGGUAGUCCUAGCCGUAAACGAUGGACACUAGGUGUUGGUUCCUUUAUGGAAUCAGUGCCGUAGCUAACGCGUUAAGUGUCCCACCUGAGGAGUACGACCGCAAGGUUGAAACUCAAAGGAAUUGACGGGGGCCAGCACAAGCGGUGGAACAUGUGGUUUAAUUCGAUGCUACGCGAAGAACCUUACCCAGGUUUGACAUGUAGGUAGUAGGAUCCUGAAAGGGUAACGACUCGUAACCAAUCGAGACCUACACAGGCGCUGCAUGGCUGUCGUCAGCUCGUGCCGUGAGGUGUUGGCUUAAGUGCCAAAACGAGCGCAACCAUUACUAAUAGUUGCCACCGGGUCCCGAAAGGGAUGCCGAGCACUCUAUUGGGACUGCCAGCGAUAAGUUGGAGGAAGGUGAUGAUGACGUCAAGUCAGUAUGGCCCUUAUGCCUGGGGCUACACACGUGUUACAAUGGCGACUACAAUGCGCAGCUACUCCGCGAGGACAAGCUAAUCGCUAAAAAGUCGCCCCAGUUCGGAUUGUAGGCUGCAAUUUGCCUACAUGAAGUUGGAAUCGCUAGUAAUGGCGGAUCAGCAACGCCGCCGUGAAUACGUUCCCUGGCCUUGUACACACCGCCCGUCAAGCGAUGGAAGCUGGGAGCACCCGAAGUCGGUAUACCAACCUGCAAGGGAGGAAGCCGCCGAAGGUGAGACUGGUGACUGGCGCU